CAAGGAGUCUAGCAUGUGCGCGAGUCAUUGGGAACACAGAUAAACCCAGAGGCGCAAUGAAAGUGAAAGGUCGGGCCUCGCGCCCGUCCACCAGGGAAGAUGCGCGGUCGGCGCCGUACGACCCGCCGCAUUCCCGAGGCGUUUCGAGAAAGCCACCGUGCGAUUAUCGAGACGCACUGAGAGCGUACACGCUGGGACCCGAAAGAUGGUGAACUAUGCCUGG
rnacentral:rRNA from 1 species